rnacentral:rRNA from 1 species
CUGAUGCAGCGACGCCGCGUGAGGGAUGACGGCCUUCGGGUUGUAAACCUCUUUUAGUAGGGAAGAAGCGAAAGUGACGGUACCUGCAGAAGAAGCGCCGGCUAACUACGUGCCAGCAGCCGCGGUAAUACGUAGGGCGCAAGCGUUGUCCGGAAUUAUUGGGCGUAAAGAGCUCGUAGGCGGCUUGUCACGUCGGUUGUGAAAGCCCGGGGCUUAACCCCGGGUCUGCAGUCGAUACGGGCAGGCUAGAGUUCGGUAGGGGAGAUCGGAAUUCCUGGUGUAGCGGUGAAAUGCGCAGAUAUCAGGAGGAACACCGGUGGCGAAGGCGGAUCUCUGGGCCGAUACUGACGCUGAGGAGCGAAAGCGUGGGGAGCGAACAGGAUUAGAUACCCUGGUAGUCCACGCCGUAAACGGUGGGAACUAGGUGUGGGCGACAUUCCACGUCGUCCGUGCCGCAGCUAACGCAUUAAGUUCCCCGCCUGGGGAGUACGGCCGCAAGGCUAAAACUCAAA